rnacentral:rRNA from 1 species
GUGACCCUGCGCCGAAAAUGUACCGGGGCUAAAACAGUUUACCGAAGCUGUGGAUGACACAAAAGUGUCAUGGUAGGAGAGCGUUCUAUGUGUGAAGAAGGUGUACCGUGAGGAGCGCUGGAACGCAUAGAAGUGAGAAUGCCGGUAUGAGUAGCGAAAGACAGGUGAGAAUCCUGUCCACCGUAAGACUAAGGUUUCCAGGGGAAGGCUCGUCCGCCCUGGGUUAGUCGGGACCUAAGGAGAGACCGAAAGGUGUAUCCGAUGGCCAACAGGUUGAUAUUCCUGUACUAGAGUAUAUAGUGAUGGAGGGACGCAGUAGGCUAACUAAACCGGACGAUUGGAAGAGUCCGGCUAAGCAGUGAGGUGUAAGAUGAGUCAAAUGCUUAUCUUUAUAACAUUGAGCUGUGAUGGGGAGCGAAUUUUAGUAGCGAAGUUAGUGAUGUCACACUGCCAAGAAAAGCUUCUAGCGUUUAAUGAUACUCUACCCGUACCGCAAACCGACACAGGUAGUCGAGGCGAGUAGCCUCAGGUGAUCGAGAGAACUCUCGUUAAGGAACUCGGCAAAAUGACCCCGUAACUUCGGGAGAAGGGGUGCUGACUUAGGUCAGCCGCAGUGAAUAGGCCCAAGCAACUGUUUAUCAAAAACACAGCUCUCUGCUAAAUCGUAAGAUGA